GACGAACGCUGGCGGCGCGCUUAACACAUGCAAGUCGAGCGAUGAAACUUUAACAGAACCCUUCGGGGCGAAGAUAAAGUGGAUUAGCGGCGGACGGGUGAGUAACACGUGAGUAACCUGCCUUAGACAUUGGGAUAGCCUCGGGAAACCGGGAUUAAUACCAAAUAAAAUCAUAAUGACACAUGUCAUAACGAUCAAAACUCCGGUGGUCUAAGAUGGACUCGCGUCCCAUUAGCUAGUUGGUAGAGUAAAAGCCUACCAAGGCGACGAUGGGUAGCCGGCCUGAGAGGGUGAACGGCCACAUUGGAACUGAGAAACGGUCCAAACUCCUACGGGAGGCAGCAGUGGGGAAUAUUGCACAAUGGAGGGAACUCUGAUGCAGCGACGCCGCGUGAACGAAGAAGGCUUUCGAGUCGUAAAGUUCUUUUAUAUGGGAAGAUAAUGACGGUACCAUAAGAAAAAGCCCCGGCUAACUACGUGCCAGCAGCCGCGGUAAUACGUAGGGGGCUAGCGUUGUCCGGAAUCACUGGGCGUAAAGGGUUCGCAGGCGGAAAUGCAAGUCAGAUGUAAAAGGCAGUAGCUUAACUACUGUAAGCAUUUGAAACUGCAUAUCUUGAGAAGAGUAGAGGUAAGUGGAAUUUUUAGUGUGGCGGUGAAAUGCGUAGAUAUUAAAAAGAAUACCGGUGGCGAAGGCGACUUACUGGGCUCAUUCUGACGCUGAGGAACGAAAGCGUGGGUAGCAAACAGG
rnacentral:rRNA from 1 species